rnacentral:rRNA from 1 species
GAUGAACGCUGGCGGCGUGCCUAAUACAUGCAAGUCGAGCGAACAGACGAGGAGCUUGCUCCUCUGACGUUAGCGGCGGACGGGUGAGUAACACGUGGAUAACCUACCUAUAAGACUGGGAUAACUUCGGGAAACCGGAGCUAAUACCGGAUAAUAUAUUGAACCGCAUGGUUCAAUAGUGAAAGACGGUUUUGCCGUCACUUAUAGAUGGAUCCGCGCCGCAUUAGCUAGUUGGUAAGGUAACGGCUUACCAAGGCAACGAUGCGUAGCCGACCUGAGAGGGGGAAGGGCCAAACGGGAACUGAAACAGGGGCCAAACCCCUACGGGAGGCAGGAGUAGGGAAUUUUCCGCAAUGGGGGAAAGCCUGAGGGAGCAACGCCGGGUGAGGGAGGAAGGUUUUCGGAUGGGAAAACGCUUUUAUUAGGGAAAAAAAAAUGGGAAAGUAAAGAGGCACGCUUUGACGGUACCAAAUCAGAAAGCCACGGCUAAAUACGU